GACGAACGCUGGCGGCGUGCUUAACACAUGCAAGUCGAACGAAGAGCGAUGGAAGCUUGCUUCUAUCAGCCUUAGUGGCGAACGGGUGAGUAACGCGUAAUCAACCUGCCCUUCAGAGGGGGACAACAGUUGGAAACGACUGCUAAUACCGCAUACGAUCUAAACUCGGCAUCGAGGAUAGAUGAAAGGUGGCCUCUACAUGUAAGCUAUCACUGAAGGAGGGGAUUGCGUCUGAUUAGCUAGUUGGAGGGGUAACGGCCCACCAAGGCGAUGAUCAGUAGCCGGUCUGAGAGGAUGAACGGCCACAUUGGGACUGAGACACGGCCCAGACUCCUACGGGAGGCAGCAGUGGGGAAUCUUCUGCAAUGGACGAAAGUCUGACGGAGCAACGCCGCGUGAGUGAUGACGGCCUUCGGGUUGUAAAGCUCUGUUAAUCGGGACGAAAGGCCUUCUUGCGAAUAGUGAGAAGGAUUGACGGUACCGGAAUAGAAAGCCACGGCUAACUA
rnacentral:rRNA from 1 species